rfam:Branchiostoma floridae genomic scaffold BRAFLscaffold_181, whole genome shotgun sequence.
GUUUCACUGUGUGUGGAUGGUGUUCUGCACCAGGGACAGGUAUGUUUCACUGUGUGUGGAUGGUGUCCUGCACCAGGGACAGGUGUGUUUCACU